rfam:Bacillus cereus AH187, complete genome.
GUGAACUGUCAUUCCAAGAAGUCAAAUGAUAGGGUAACGCCUUGAAGGGCUUCCUUUAAUACUCCGACAUGCAGUGAAGUUAGCAAGAACUGAACUGUAUGAAGCUCGGUGAAGUCGGUUGAGAGUUACCGUAAUCCUAUAGGAUACGAAAGUCACUCAGAGGUGGGUGGUGUAACCUAUAAACCGGAAGUCUAUAAA